rnacentral:rRNA from 1 species
AACGAACGCUGAUGGCGUGCCUCAUACAUGCAAGUCGAACGGGCUCUUCGGAGCUAGUGGCGAACGGGUGAGUAACACGUAAACAACGUGCCCUUUGGUUGGGAAUAACUAUUCUAACGGAUAGCUAAUACCGAAUAUUGUGAAGAGUUCGCAUGGACAUUUCACGAAAGGUGCCUUCGGGUAUCGCCAGAGGAUCGGUUUGCGGCCCAUUAGCUUGUUGGUAGGGUAAUGGCCUACCAAGGCAACGAUGGGUAGCCGGCCUGAGAGGGUGACCGGCCACAUUGGGACUGAGAUACGGCCCAG